rnacentral:rRNA from 1 species
CGACUCUAGAGAUAGAGUCUUCCCCUUCGGGGGACAAAGUGACGGGUGGUGCAUGGUUGUCGUCAGCUCGUGUCGUGAGAUGUUGGGUUAAGUCCCGCAACGAGCGCAACCCUUAAGCUUAGUUGCCAGCAUUAAGUUGGGCACUCUAAGUUGACUGCCGGUGACAAACCGGAGGAAGGUGGGGAUGACGUCAAAUCAUCAUGCCCCUUAUGAUUUGGGCUACACACGUGCUACAAUGGACAAUACAAAGGGCAGCUAAACCGCGAGGUCAUGCAAAUCCCAUAAAGUUGUUCUCAGUUCGGAUUGUAGUCUGCAACUCGACUACAUGAAGCUGGAAUCGCUAGUAAUCGUAGAUCAGCAUGUUACGGUGAAUACGUUCCCGGGUCUUGUACACACCGCCCGUCACACCACGAGAGUCUGUAACACCCGAAGCCGGUGGAGUAACCAUUUAUGGAGCUAGCCGUCGAAGGUGGGACAAAUGAUUGGGGUGAAGUCGUAACAAGGUAGCCGUAUCGGAAGGUGCGGUUGGAUCACCUC